rnacentral:SRP_RNA from 1 species
UGCUAGGCUCGACCGGGACGUUCGGCGUGUCCUUAUACACCAAAAUCGUCGACAGUGGGGGUGACAGCUGGGGACGUCGUAACCGAGUCUGCGUAGGUCCAGGUAUCGACAAUGAGGCCUUGUCCAAGGGGGUUGAAGGUGGCUCUGUGUCCAGCUGGAGGGCGGGACUCUCUGACUUUGUCGCGGGGAUCGGGUCAGGCCCUGACGGGAACAGCCUUACCGCGAACUCUCAACGCUCCUAGGGUAGCGGGGCCGAGAAGAUAUCUGGGCUGCCUGCGUGAACGAGGCCGGCAACUCCAGUGGCCUAGCA